rnacentral:rRNA from 1 species
UACAGAGGGUGCGAGCGUUGUCCGGAAUCACUGGGCGUAAAGGGCGCGUAGGCGGCUUGAUAAGCGUGCGGUGAAAGCCCGGGCUCAACCCCGGGUCGGCCGUGCGAACUGUCGAGCUGGAGCACUGUAGAGGCAGGUGGAAUUCCGGGGUGUAGCGGUGGAAUGCGUAGAGAUCCGGAAGAACACCGGUGGCGAAGGCGGCCUGCUGGGCAGUGGCUGACGCUGAGGCGCGACAGCGUGGGGAGCAAACAGG